rnacentral:rRNA from 1 species
AGGGCGUAUGGUGGAUGCCUAGACACGAGAUGCCGAAGAAGGACGUAGCAGCCUGCGAUAAGCCGCGGGGAGGUGGCAAGCAACCUUUGAUCCGCGGAUCUCCGAAUGGGGAAACCCGGUCCCGCAGAAGGCGGGAUCACCCGGCGCUGAAUACAUAGGCGACGGGAGGGCACCCAGGGAAGUGAAACAUCUCAGUACCUGGAGGAAGAGAAAAAAAUUGCUACCGCAGAUUUCUCGUCACAGAUCGCACAGAUUUUCUGUGCCAUCCGUGUCAGAGAAAUCAGUGGUAGCUGCAUUCCCCAAGUAGUGGCGAGCGAACGGGGAACAGCCCAAACCUCGUCGGGCCAAGUGCGGAAGCGGGCCCCGCGCAAGCGGGGUCACGUGCCGUAUGGCGGCUUCAGGGCUUUGUGUCCGACGGGGCGUUGUAAGAGAGUGGCGUUCGGCGCCUGCAACGCCGAGGAAGAGGAAUCCCAAAUGGGCCAUGUCUUUCCUAGCAGAACGGUUUGGAAAAACCGACCAUAGCGGGUGAUAGUCCCGUACGCGAAAGGAGUCAUGCCUCUUCUGUCAUUAUUCUUGAGUACCACGAGACUCGUGAAAUCUUGUGGGAAACAGGGGCGACUAUGCCCCAAGGCUAAACACAUCUCGUGAUCGAUAGUGAACCAGUACCGUGAGGGAAAGGUGAAAAGCAGCCCGGGAGGGCGAUGAAAUAGUAUCUGAAACCAUACGCUUACAAGGAGUCAGAGCCCCCACACCUUUUGGAUAAUCCAAAGGGUGUACGGACAAUGUUUGAUGGUGAUAGCACAUCAUCGAAAAAAUCAUCAUUGUCCAAAAGGUGUGGGGGUGAUGGCGUUCCUAUUGAAGAAUGAGCCAACGAGUUUGAUCUGCGUCGCUUGGUUAAUCCGCCGAGGCGGAGAAGCCGCAGCGAAAGCGAGUCUGAAAGGGCGUUUUUCACUUAUGAGCGAGGAGCCGUCGCAAGACUGCUCACCGCCCAUUUGUGAAAAUGUGGCGUAGACAAGACCCGAAACCCGGCGAGCUAGCCAUGGCCAGGAUGAACCCCCGCGAAAGCGGGGGGGAGGUCCGAACCUGUGAGCCGUACAACACUCUAGGAUGAGCUGUGGCUAGAGGUGAAAUUCCAAUCGAGCUGGGUGAUAGCUGGUUCUCCCCGAAAUAGCUUGUGGGCUAGCGUCGGUUACAGUUCGUGAGGGGUAGAGCACUGAAUGGGAUUCGAUGGAGAAAUCCUACGCAUCCUAACCAAACUCCGAAUACUCACGAAUGAUCCCGGCAGUCAGAGCACGGGGGCUAAGCUCCGUCGCUCAAAAGGGAAACAGCCCUGAUCUCAGUCUAAGGUCCCUAAAUUCCAGUUAAGUGUGAAAAGUGGUGUCGCGACUUCGACAACCAGGAGGUGGGCUUAGAGGCAGCCAUCCUUCAAAGAAAGCGUAACAGCUCACUGGUCAAGUUGCCGCGCGCUGAAAAUUUACCGGGGCUAAACUGGAUACCGAAGACGAGGGCUCGCGCCGCAAGGCGUGAGCGGUAGGGGAGCAUUCCGAGUGCGCUGAAGUCGCGUCGUGAGGCGCGGUGGAGCGCUCGGAAGAGAGAAUGUUGGCAUAAGUAGCAAAAAGACGGGUGAGAACCCCGUCCACCGUAAACCCAAGGUUUCCUGGGCAACGCAAAUCGUCCCAGGGUGAGCCGGUCCUAAGGCGAGGCCGAAGGGCGUAGCCGAUGGAUGAGCAGGUUAAUAUUCCUGCGCUCCCGCCGUGUUAUCGUCGCGCGACGCUUCACCGUAUUCUCCGUGUGUUUUGGCUAUGUACAUCCGCGGCGGCAAGGACUCCGCAAGGGGAACAAGCCGCUGUGGCCAGCUGGCCCGCGAGGGCUGGCAAGGGAGAAAAAGGUGGAGCCUAGAAAAACCGCGACGUUACGCACGACGGGACCCGUACCGCAAACCAACACAGGUGGGUAGGCAUAAGUGUGCCAAGGUGUACGAGAGAACCCUCGUUCAGGAACUCGGCAAUAUAGCGGCCGUAACUUCGGAAUAAGGCCUCCCCGUAGCAAUACGGGGCGCAGCUAAAGACGCUUAGCGACUGUUUACCAAAAACACAGGUCCCUGCUAAGUCGAAAGACGAUGUAUAGGGGCUGAUGCCUGGCCAGUGUCAGAACGUUAAGGAGAGGGGUCAUUCCGCCGCAAGGCGGAGGCAGCCCUGAACUGAAGCGCUGAUGAACGCCGGCGGUAACUAUAACCGUCCUAAGGUAGCGAAAUUCCUUGUCGGGUGAGUUCCGACCUGCACGAAUGGCAUAACGCCUGAGCGACUGUCUUAACGAGGGACUCGGCGAAAUUGCAAGUGGAGUGAAGAUGCUCCAUACCCGUGGUUAGACGAAAAGACCCCGUGAAGCUUUACUACAGCUUGACGUUGGCGUCAUGUUUCGCAUGUUCAGCGUAGGUGGGAGUCCCGCCGCAAGGCGGGACGCCAAUGAGACACCACCCUUGCGUUCCGUGUCGUCUUGAUCCUUAGCCGUGAAUCCGGCCGAGGAGACAGCGUCUGGUGGGUAGUUUGACUGGGGCGGUCGCCUCCUAAAAGGUAACGGAGGCGUUUACAAAGGUCGGCUUAGCUCCGAUGGAAACGGAGCUGGACGCGCAAGCGCACAAGCCGGCUUUACUGCAAGGCCUACAAGCCGAGCAGUCGCGAAAGCGGAAGCUAGUGAUCCGACCGUUCGAUAUAGGACGGCGGAAGCUCAUCGGACAAAAGCUACUCCGGGGAUAACAGGCUGAUCGGGUCCAAGAGUCCACAUCGACGACCCGGUUUGGCACCUUAAAAUAUCGGGGUGCUACAGGAGCGAUCCUGUACCAAAAAUUCGGCUUAUUACGGUGGAACCGUCAGUGAUUUAAAAAUCACCCGGCAAUACCGUGGGAAGUCAGGUCUAUUCGUCAUUACAAAAAAAUCUGCCCUGGGGGCAGGAGAUCAAUCCAUGGUUGGUAUGUUUGUAAUGACAAAACUUUGACCUUGACCCCGUAACGACUGACCCGAAAGGGGAGGCUUUAGCCAAGGCUAAG